rnacentral:rRNA from 1 species
GUAGGGUCCGAGCGUUGUCCGGAAUUAUUGGGCGUAAAGGGCUCGUAGGCGGUUUGUUACGUCGGGAGUGAAAACUCAGGGCUCAACCCUGAGCGUGCUUCCGAUACGGGCAGACUAGAGGUAUUCAGGGGAGAACGGAAUUCCUGGUGUAGCGGUGGAAUGCGCAGAUAUCAGGAGGAACACCGGUGGCGAAGGCGGUUCUCUGGGAAUUACCUGACGCUGAGGAGCGAAAGCAUGGGGAGCGAACAGGAUUAGAUACCCUGGUAGUCCAUGCCGUAAACGUUGGGCGCUAGGUGUGGGGACCUUCCACGGUCUCCGUGCCGCAGCUAACGCAUUAAGCGCCCCGCCUGGGGAGUACGGCCGCAAGGCUA